GUUGGCCAGCUACUUUCCCUUCAGAAAGCCCAAAUCACCCACCUAGAUCCAAUUCUGAUUGUUCGUGGGCUCAAGUCAUGCAAGAAAAUUGAUGGUUUCGCUUGAAGGUUCUAAAGGCUUCUGUAGAUGAACUUAUUGCCCUCCAAUAGUGAUUCUCUCAGAGGGCAUUUGGUAUGGGAUGAUCCAUCUAAGAUCAAAGAUGAUGUAGGUGGAUGUGAUGAGAUCAUCA
rnacentral:lncRNA from 1 species